CUGCCUGGUGAUUAUAGGGUAGGGAAGAAGGGAGAGGGGAGAAGAUGCUCUCUCUGGCUCUUGGGAUUUAGAACUCUUUAAACAUGGACCUGAACAUUUAGAGGGAAGGUUGAGGAAACUCUUUAAACAUGGGUCUGAGCAUUUAGAGUGAAUAUUGAAGAAAAACAUGGGCCUGAACAUUUAGAGGGAAGGUUGUAAACAUGGGCCUGAGCAUUUAGAGGGAAGAUUGAGGGAACCCUUUAAACAUGGGCCUGAGCAUUUAGAGGGAAGGUUGAGGAAACCCUUUAAACAUGGGCCUGAGCAUUUAGAGGGAAGGUUGAGGAAACUCUUUAAACAUGGGCCUGAGCAUUUAGAGGGAAGGUUGAGGGAACCCUCUAAACAUGGGCCUGAACAUUUAGAGGGAAUAUUGAAGAAAAACAUGGGCCUGAACAUUUAGAGGGAAGGUUGAGGAAACUCUUUAAACAUGGGCCUGAGCAUUUAGAGGGAAGGUUGAGGGAACCCUCUAAACAUGGGCCUGCGCAUUUAGAGGGAAUAUUGAAGAAAAACAUGGGCCUGAACAUUUAGAGGGAAUAUGGAAGAAAAACAUGGGCCUGAGCAUUUAGAGGGAAUAUGGAAGAAAAACAUGGGCCUGAGCAUUUAGAGGGAAUAUUGAAGAAACAAACAUGGGCCUGAGCAUUUAGAGGGAAGGUUGAGGAAACUCUUCAAACAUGGGCCUGAGCAUUUAGAGGGAAGGUUGAGGGAACCCUCUAAACAUGGGCCUGAGCAUUUAGAGGGAAUAUUGAAGAAAAACAUGGGCCUGAACAUUUAGAGGGAAUAUGGAAGAAAAACAUGGGCCUGAGCAUUUAGAGGGAAUAUUGAAGAAACAAACAUGGGCCUGAGCAUUUAGAGGGAAGGUUGAGGAAACUCUUCAAACAUGGGCCUGAACAUUUAGAGGGAAUAUUGAAGAAACAAACAUGGGCCUGAGCAUUUAGAGGAAAGCUUGAGGAAACUCUUCAAACAUGGGCCUGAGCAUUUAGAGGGAAUAUUGAAGAAACAAACAUGGGCCUGAGCAUUUAGAGGGAGGGUUGAGGAAACUCUUCAAACAUGGGCCUGAGCAUUUAGAGGGAAGCUUGAGGAAACCCUUUAAACAUGGGCCUGAGCAUUUAGAGGAAAGCUUGAGGAAACCCUUUAAACAUGGGCCUGAACAUUUAGAAGGAAUAUUGAAAAAAAAAAACAUGGGCCUGAACAUUUAGAGGGAAUAUUGAAGAAAAACAUGGGCCUGAGCAUUUAGAGGAUAGGUUGAGGAAAUGAAUACUUGCCUACCCACUAUGUGCUUUGUUGUUUCUUAUUACUUCAAUGU